UGAAGGUGUACUGUGAGGUAUGCUGGAGGUAUCAGAAGUGCGAAUGCUGACAUAAGUAACGAUAAAGCGGGUGAAAAGCCCGCUCGCCGGAAGACCAAGGGUUCCUGUCCAACGUUAAUCGGGGCAGGGUGAGUCGACCCCUAAGGCGAGGCCGAAAGGCGUAGUCGAUGGGAAACAGGUUAAUAUUCCUGUACUUGGUGUUACUGCGAAGGGGGGACGGAGAAGGCUAUGUUGGCCGGGCGACGGUUGUCCCGGUUUAAGCGUGUAGGCUGGUUUUCCAGGCAAAUCCGGAAAAUCAAGGCUGAGGCGUGAUGACGAGGCACUACGGUGCUGAAGCAACAAAUGCCCUGCUUCCAGGAAAAGCCUCUAAGCAUCAGGUAACAUCAAAUCGUACCCCAAACCGACACAGGUGGUCAGGUAGAGAAUACCAAGGCGCUUGAGAGAACUCGGGUGAAGGAACUAGGCAAAAUGGUGCCGUAACUUCGGGAGAAGGCACGCUGAUAUGUAGGUGAAGUCCCUCGCGGAUGGAGCUGAAAUCAGUCGAAGAUACCAGCUGGCUGCAACUGUUUAUUAAAAACACAGCACUGUGCAAACACGAAAGUGGACGUAUACGGUGUGACGCCUGCCCGGUGCCGGAAGGUUAAUUGAUGGGGUUAGCGGUAACGCGAAGCUCUUGAUCGAAGCCCCGGUAAACGGCGGCCGUAACUAUAACGGUCCUAAGGUAGCGAAAUUCCUUGUCGGGUAAGUUCCGACCUGCACGAAUGGCGUAAUGAUGGCCAGGCUGUCUCCACCCGAGACUCAGUGAAAUUGAACUCGCUGUGAAGAUGCAGUGUACCCGCGGCAAGACGGAAAGACCCCGUGAACCUUUACUAUAGCUUGACACUGAACAUUGAGCCUUGAUGUGUAGGAUAGGUGGGAGGCUUUGAAGUGUGGACGCCAGUCUGCAUGGAGCCGGCCUUGAAAUACCACCCUUUAAUGUUUGAUGUUCUAACGUUGGCCCCUGAUCGGGGUUGCGGACAGUGUCUGGUGGGUAGUUUGACUGGGGCGGUCUCCUCCUAAAGAGUAACGGAGGAGCACGAAGGUUGGCUAAUCCUGGUCGGACAUCAGGAGGUUAGUGCAAUGGCAUAAGCCAGCUUGACUGCGAGCGUGACGGCGCGAGCAGGUGCGAAAGCAGGUCAUAGUGAUCCGGUGGUUCUGAAUGGAAGGGCCAUCGCUCAACGGAUAAAAGGUACUCCGGGGAUAACAGGCUGAUACCGCCCAAGAGUUCAUAUCGACGGCGGUGUUUGGCACCUCGAUGUCGGCUCAUCACAUCCUGGGGCUGAAGUAGGUCCCAAGGGUAUGGCUGUUCGCCAUUUAAAGUGGUACGCGAGCUGGGUUUAGAACGUCGUGAGACAGUUCGGUCCCUAUCUGCCGUGGGCGCUGGAGAACUGAGGGGGGCUGCUCCUAGUACGAGAGGACCGGAGUGGACGCAUCACUGGUGUUCGGGUUGUCAUGCCAAUGGCACUGCCCGGUAGCUAAAUGCGGAAGAGAUAAGUGCUGAAAGCAUCUAAGCACGAAACUUGCCCCGAGAUGAGUUCUCCCUGACUCCUUGAGAGUCCUGAAGGAACGUUGAAGACGACGACGUUGAUAGGCCGGGUGUGUAAGCGCAGCGAUGCGUUGAGCUAACCGGUACUAAUGAACCGUGAGGCUUAACCUU
rnacentral:rRNA from 1 species